UACGAAGGGGGCUGGCGUUGUUCGGAAUUACUGGGCGUAAAGCGCACGUAGGCGGAUAUUUAAGUCAGGGGUGAAAUCCCGCAGCUCAACUGCGGAACUGCCUUUGAUACUGGCGAUCUAGAGUCCGGAAGAGGUGAGUGGAACUCCUAGUGUAGAGGUGGAAUUCGUAGAUAUUCGGAGGAACACCAGUGGCGAAGGCGGCUCACUGGCCAGAUACUGACGCUGAGGUGCGAAAGCGUGGGUAGCAAACAGG
rnacentral:misc_RNA from 1 species